UACGUAGGGAGCAAGCGUUGUUCGGAUUUACUGGGCGUAAAGGGCGCGUAGGCGGCAAUUCAAGUCAGCUGUGAAAUCUCCGGGCUUAACUCGGAACGGUCAGCUGAUACUGCUUUGCUAGAGUGCGGAAGGGCAAUCGGAAUUCUCGGUGUAGCGGUGAAAUGCGUAGAUAUCGAGAGGAACACCCUGGAGGUGAAGACGGGGUUG
rnacentral:rRNA from 1 species